GGGCACGACACCGGAGAGGGAGCCUGAGAAACGGCUACCANNNNNNNNGNUGGCAGCAGGCGCGCAAAUUACCCAAUCCCGACACGGGGAGGUAGUGACAAUAAAUAACAAUACGGGGUUCUUUAGGAUCUCGUAAUUGGAAUGAGUACAAUUUAAAUCUCUUAACGAGGAACAAUUGGAGGGCAAGUCUGGUGCCAGCAGCCGCGGUAAUUCCAGCUCCAAUAGCGUAUAUUAAAGUUGUUGCAGUUAAAAAGCUCGUAGUUGAAUUUCGGGGUUAGUAGGUUGGUCAUGCCUCUGGUAUGUACUGGUCUCACUGAUUCCUCCUUCCUGAUGAGCCGUAAUGCCAUUAAUUUGGUGUUGCGGGGAAUUUGGACUGUUACUUUGAAAAAAUUAGAGUGUUUAAAGCAAGCUAACGCUUGAAUACAUUAGCAUGGAAUAAUGAAAUAGGACGUUCGAUCCUAUUUUGUUGGUUUCUAGGAUUGACGUAAUGAUUAAUAGGGAUAGUUGGGGGCAUUAGUAUUCAAUUGUCAGAGGUGAAAUUCUUGGAUUUAUUGAAGACUAACUACUGCGAAAGCAUUUGCCAAGGAUGUUUUCAUUAAUCAAGAACGAAAGUUAGGGGAUCGAAGACGAUCAGAUACCGUCGUAGUCUUAACCAUAAACUAUGCCGACUAGGGAUCGGAUGAUGUUAAUUUUUUAAUGACUCAUUCGGCGCCUUACGGGAAACCAAAGU
rnacentral:rRNA from 1 species